rnacentral:rRNA from 1 species
UGGGGAAUUUUGGACAAUGGGCGAAAGCCUGAUCCAGCAAUGCCGCGUGUGUGAAGAAGGCCUUCGGGUUGUAAAGCACUUUUGUCCGGAAAGAAAUCCUUGGCUCUAAUACAGUCGGGGGAUGACGGUACCGGAAGAAUAAGCACCGGCUAACUACGUGCCAGCAGCCGCGGUAAUACGUAGGGUGCAAGCGUUAAUCGGAAUUACUGGGCGUAAAGCGUGCGCAGGCGGUUUGCUAAGACCGAUGUGAAAUCCCCGGGCUCAACCUGGGAACUGCAUUGGUGACUGGCAGGCUAGAGUAUGGCAGAGGGGGGUAGAAUUCCACGUNUAGCAGCGAAAUGCGUAGAGAUGUGGAGGAAUACCGAUGGCGAAGGCAGCCCCCUGGGCCAAUACUGACGCUCAUGCACGAAAGCGUGGGGAGCAAACAGGAUUAGAUACCCUGGUAGUCCACGCCCUAAACGAUGUCAACUAGUUGUUGGGGAUUCAUUUCCUUAGUAACGUAGCUAACGCGUGAAGUUGACCGCCUGGGGAGUACGGUCGCAAGAUUAAAACUCAAAGGAAUUGACGGGGUCAUAGCUGUUUCCU